AUACGUAGGUGGCAAGCGUUAUCCGGAUUUACUGGGCGUAAAGGGCGUGUAGGCGGUCUUGCAAGUCAGAAGUGAAAUUCCUGAGCUCAACUCGGGCGCUGCGUCUGAAACUGCAGGACUUGAGUGCUGGAGGGGGUAGCGGAAUUCCUAGUGGAGCGGUAAAAUGCGCAGAUAUUAGAAAGAACACCGGUGGCGAAGGCGGCUAUCUGGACAGUAACUGACGCUGAGGCGCGAAAGCGUGGGGAGCAAACAGGAUUAGAUCCCCUGGUAGUCCACGCCGUAAACGAUGAAUACUAGGUGUAGGGGGUAUCGACUCCCUCUGUGCCGCAGUUAACACAAUAAGUAUUCCGCCUGGGGAGUACGGCCGCAAGGUUGAAACUCAAAUGAAUUGACGGGG
rnacentral:rRNA from 1 species